rnacentral:rRNA from 1 species
CCUGCCCGGUGCCGGAAGGUUAAUUGAUGGGGUUAGUUUUCGGACGAAGCUCUUGAUCGAAGCCCCGGUAAACGGCGGCCGUAACAAUAACGGUCCUAAGGUAGCGAAAUUCCUUGUCGGGUAAGUUCCGACCUGCACGAAUGGCGUAACGACUUCCCCGCUGUCUCCAGCAGAGACUCAGUGAAAUCGAAUUCGCCGUGAAGAUGCGGUGUACCCGCGGCUAGACGGAAAGACCCCGUGAACCUUUACUGCAGCUUGACAUUGAACUUUGAUCUUACUUGUGUAGGAUAGGUGGG